ensembl:lncRNA
UAGAUAGCGAGACACAAAAAACAAGGUGAAUUUCAUGAUUUCCGGCACAACAGUGGUCAAUCGUAGGAAGAGGAGUAAGGACAACCAGAACCUUGACCGGAUCGCGGAAUCGGAUGCUCAGCUGUACAGAGACCUGGCUCAGGCUUCAGGAGGUCUGGUUGUUGAAGUCUCAAAGACGGAGCUCCCUGAGGCCACCAGCAUCAUCACACAGUUCUCCAGGUCCUCUCUGGUAACCCUGCUGCAGGCGGCCAGGAGCCCGGGACGGACCGACACCUUUUCUUUUACGGUUGAUGGAACAGUGGAAAACGUUAGAGUCUACAUCACCGGGCGCUCUGUCACGUUCACGCUCACUAGCCCCACAGGGGAGCAAAGCACUGACACAACAGGACCGUUGAUCACUGCAUCGCAGUCUGUGGGGAACCUCAAGACUCUGCAGCUAAAAAGUCAAGUUGGACUGUGGAAAAUGAAAAUGGAGUCAACUAAUCCGUACACUCUUAAGGUCAUAGGUCAGAGUCCUAUUGACUUCCUGUUUGACUUUGUGGAGGCAUCACAAGGCCCUUUCACAGGAUAUGAUUCUCUUGACACUCGUCCCAGAGCCGGCGUCAACGGCAGCUUGUUGGUGACGUUAACGGGAAGCGACUCGGCCACGGUGACAGAGGUCACUCUGGUCGAAUCGUCCGGGUCGGGGGAGGUCAAAGGAACAGUGGAGCCACGGGGGGGAGGAAACUUCUUGGUUCUCGUUGACGUGGUGCCGUUGGUGGAGUUUGCGGUGCGGGUGACGGGGCGGGAUGGCGGUGCAAUAGUCUUCCAACGGCAGUCAUGCACCAGCUUCAGAGGCUCCAAUGUGACUGUGAUUGCGGAUUCCAAUAGCAUCUUGGUACCAGGGACCCCCUUCUCCGUGCCCUUCUCAGUGUUAACCAGAGGAGUAGGAGGAAACUUCACCAUCCGAGCCACCAUCAACCAACCCUUCGACUCGACCUCUCCGACAAACGUGUUCCUGGAAACUGGGGUCAGCGCUAACGACACGGUGACCCUCUCGGCACCUCUGAACACCCGGUCUGGUGACGACGUCACCCUGACUAUUGAGGCCGAGGCUCCCGGCGGCGAAGACACAAACUACGUCGUGCUGCGCAUCCCCGUCGUGAACACGGUGACGGAUUUUACUCCGCCGCGGUGCGAGCAGCUCGGCCUCAAAGCCAACUGCUCCGCCAACUGCAGCUCGUCGACGUGGGAGCUCUCCGUUCGGGUGACUGACGGGGCGGAAGGGACGGGCGUGGAGCGAGUCAGCCUCAGACGGGGCAACGGGACCUUCAACACCAGUCCGGCCAGCGGCAAUGAGAACAUAACACUGGUUUCCUACGUCUCGUCGUGCUGUGAGCCCGAGGUGGAGCUGGUGGCUGUGGAUCGAGUGGGCAACGUGGGCACCUGUGUGUUCUCCUCUUCCCCAAAAGUCACUCCCUCACCGCUUCUUCUCCCAACCGUGGUGCUGCUGGGACUCCAUAUGCUUUCCAAACUGGGCAUCCCUUGACUCCCGGUUGAAGUUAUAAUUGGGGCAGCAGCAUGUGUAUUUUUUUUUUUUUUAAACGUUGAAUAAAUUGACUUUGUACUGUAAAAUGGGUCAUCUCGGGCAGCACUACUUUAUGAAAUGUUUUCGCUCACUGUAGGUGUUACUGGGAUAUUUUUCAUAUGGUUCAGUCACACUGCUUUUUUGGGGAGGAAACUUAAAUAAAUCCACUGCAACCGAUGGCUGUGUUUGUUUAAAUGAGAGGCAGG